rnacentral:rRNA from 1 species
GAUCAUGGCUAAGGAUGAACGCUAGCUACAGGCUUAACACAUGCAAGUCGAGGGGCGAGCAUGGUCUUAGCUUGCUAAGGCCGAUGGCGACCGGCGCACGGGUGAGUAACACGUAUCCAACCUGCCGUCUACUCUUGACAGCCUUCUGAAAGGAAGAUUAAUACAAGAUGGCAUCAUGAGUUCGCAUGUUCACNUGAUUAAAGGUAUUCCGGUAGACGAUGGGG